UCGAACUCAUUUCUACAUCUUUCUCCGACGAUCGAUUUUCCCUCUCCUAGGAUUAAUUGAAAGAGGUAAAUAUCCUUUUUAUUUUCUUUUAGUUUUAAAUGUUUUGAAUAAUUUUUGUUGUGUUUGUGUUAUGGUUGGAUUCGAUUUUAAUUUGAGGAAAAUUUUGAUAUCUAGGGUUUCGAUUUAAUGUAUUAUCCUUUGAAGUUGAUAUUUUCAUGCAUUUUCCCUUUUAUGCUGGUUAAAAAAAUUUUAGUUAGUUUGAUUUUUCGGUUUAUGAAAAACCUAAAUAUGUUUUUUUAGUUUAGCCCUAUUUUCUUUGGUAUUCCAAUUUGUGAACUAGGUUUGUAGGAUUCUUAUUUAUUUUUAGACUCUAUGAUUUCUUAAAUUAAUUUAUAUUUCGGUCACAUUUUUGUACACAGCCUAGGUGUAAUAGAAGUUUGUAUAAAAGUUGAGCAUCUAUGUGUGCAUCUACGACCCCAUAAAGUAUAAAUUGGACGAGAGUAAUCAUGUAAAAUUCCUGAGCCUAUAAGAGACUAGCAUUUGUUCGAGAGGUUAUGAUUUCAGAGCCUUUCUAUAAUUUUGUUUUCCCAAAGUUUUGAUUAUUCAAUUUGCAAGUACAGUAAUUGAAUUAGGUGUGUUGGAUCUUUUUGAUCUUUUGUUCACUACGAUUUUUGAAGUGAAUUUAAACUUUAAAUGUAGGUUGAAUUUGUGGGUUAACGAUGUAAACCCACGUAGCAAUAGUAACUCCGAAGCCCACAAAAGAUUGAACCAACCCAAGAAAAUUAAGAAGUCAAAGUUUAUAGUUUGUUAUGAAAAUAUUGAACCAAAGAACCAACAUAAUCAUUGACCAUAUGUUUAACCCGUAAUCACAAGAUUUAAGAAUCUCACCCGAAUUGUUUGAACGCCACAAAAAAUAAUCUUGAUAAAUUCAUAAACUAGUUCAAUGAAUAAUAAAAAAUCGAAAGCAAAAUUACUGAGAAAAUAAUCACUCAAUUUUAUGUAUGAAUCAAUGUUCUUUCAAUGUAAAUAAUGAGUCCUAUUUAUAGAAAAUCGAUAAAACCAUAGCAAAAACAGAAUUAAGGUCUAAACGUACUAAAAGUUACCAUAAAAUGGAGUUUUAACAUAAAUAAAAGAUUUCGUGAAAAUUGGAACAAUUACGCAUGAUUUUACUACUCUAUACAGCCACGUAGAGUUAACUUAUGCGGUCAUAUAGGCCAGACAGAAAAUUAUUUUUUUGGUCUUGGGUUGUAUCUAUGCAGCCACAUGCAUAGAUACACUAUGCAGUCACAUAGUUCACCCCUUCAGCUCCCUCUUCUAUUGCUUAAUUGAGUCAAGUUGAUCAAUCGUCCUUCUUCGUUCAAGUCCAACAUGAAACUUGUUGAUUUGCUUGCAUUGAUAAAUGUUUCGUCCACCUUGAAUUGAGCAAGUAAUCUCUCGCUUCUUUGAUCCUCUUCUCCCGCAACUUGAUCAUAGAAUCUUCUUCAACGAUCUAUAGAUCUUUUCCUGAGCUUUCCUUUGAUCAUUUGAUCACAUCGUCCCCUCCCUCUUCGAAAAGAUUUGAUCUUGAAUCUAUACAUGCAUUAAACAAAGAAAGAUCAAAAAAUAUUAAAAGUAGUCGAAACGUUAUACUCAUCAGUGAGAUCUAGUUUGCAGGCAUUGCCUUUUAUCCUUUCAGGGACUUGAAAUGGACUAUCUCCCCGUAGUUGCUACUUUGGUUUUGUUUGUUUUGAAAAGCGUUCAUUUCUCAAGUAUAUCCAAACUCAAUCUCCGGGUUCAAAUGUAAUGCUCUCUUCCGACCUUUGCUUGCUUGGGAUGUAUAGUGCUUGUUUCUCUUUUCAAUAUGCAAUCUUACCUUUUCAUGGAGUGAUUUCAUGAGUUCGGCCUUCUUCUUUCCAUCUAAACUAUAUCGUUCGAUAACUGGUAAAGGAAUUAAAUCCAAAAGUAUUGAUGGAUUAAAACCAAAUACAAUUUCAAAAGGUGAGGAAGAAGUAGUAGAAUGCGUGGCCCUAUUGUAUGCAAAUUCAAUGAAUGGUAAGCACUCUUCCUGACACUUCAAAUUCUUAUUAACUAUAAUGCGUAACGAUUGUAUCAUGGUCAUAUUGAUAACCUCAAUUUGUUCAUCGAUUUGUGGGUGACAAGUAGUAGAAAAUGGUAAUUUUGUGCCUACUUAUUCCACGAAACCCACGAAAAGUGACUAAGGAAUUUAACGUAUCUAUCUGAUAAAAUGCUCUUAGGAAUCACAUGUAAAUACAGUACUUCUUUAACGAACAAAACCGCAAUGUCAGUGGCAUUGUCAAUUUAUGAUAGGGAAUGAAAUGUGCCAUCUUGCUAAAUAUAUCUACCAUCACAAAUAUGGAAUCUCUUUCUUUCUUAAUCCUAGGUAAACCUAAUACAAAAUCUAUAGAUAUGUCAACACAUAGUUCACUAAGAAUGGGUAAAGGUAUAUACAAACCCUGAAUUAAAAACUUAGACUUAGUUUUUUUACAAGUGAUGCAUCUAUUACAAACUCAAUCAACAUCAAUUUUUAUUUUAGGCCUAUAAAAAUGUUCACCUAACAUCUUAAGGACUUCUUAACCUCAAAAUGUCCCAUUAAACCUCCACUAUAUGCUUCUAUUAUCAACAAUUCUCUCAUUGAACAUUUAGAAACGCAGCUUGUUUUCUCAAAAUAAAUACCCAACAUGCCUAAGGAAUUUAUCUUUGGCUCCUUUAUCACAUGAUUCAUAUAUACCCAAAAACACAAGUCAUUAGCAUAUAUGUCCUUAACAUAUUCAAAUAUCAGCAAUCUAGUACUUAAAGAAGUUAGAAGUAUAUACAUUUUCGAUAAUGCAUCCGCUACCACAUUUUCUUUACCUUGUUUACAUAGAAUGACGUAUGAAAAUGUCUCUAUAAACUCCAUCCACAUUGCAUGCCUUUUGUUUAGCUUACCUUAACCUCUCAAGCCUUAACCCAUAAGUAGUGCUGCGAUGAUUCUAAUGCUCAAAUAAGUGCAUACAACUCCUUGUCAUAUAUCUGAUAAUUGGGAAAUGCUCCAGUUAACUUUUCACUGAACUAAUCUAUCGGCCUUCUAUCUUGCAUUAAAACAACUCCAAUACCUACCCCUAAGACAUUACAUUCAAUCUCAAAAGUUUUUUCAAAAUUAGGGAGUGCUAAUAUUGGUGCCUUACACAACUUAUCUUUAAUAUUAUUAAAUGUAUGUUCUUGUUCAAUGUCCUAUUGAAAUCCUACACUCUUCUUAACAACUUUUAUAAAUGGUGUGGCAAUUGUACUAAAGUUUUUAACAAAAUGUCUAUAAAAACUAGCUAAACCAUUAAAGUUUCUUACUUCAGCCAUGCUUUUAGGUGUUGACCAAUCCUUGAUAACCUCGAUUUUCUCCUCAUCAACUUUUAUCCCCUUGGCACUAACAACAUACCCAAGAAAAACAAUUUUCUCCAUGCUAAAUGUGUACUUUUUAAAGUUAGCAUAAAGUUGUUCUUGUCUUAAAACCACAAGUACACACUUUAAAUGCUAUAUAAGCUCAUUUAAAUCCUUACGAUAUACUAAGUAUCAUCAAAGUAAACUACUAUGAAUUUACCUAUGAAUGCAUGUAAAACAUUAUUCAUUAAUUGCAUAAAUGUGCUAGGUGCAUUAGUAAGUCCAAAUGUCAUGAUAACCACUCAUACAAUUUGUAUUUAGUUUUAAAAGCAUUUUCCAUUCAUCUCCUUCCCUUAUCCUAAUUAGAUGAUAACAACUUUUAAGAUAUUUCAAUAAAUAUGCAUGCGCCAUGUAAUUCAUGUAACGUAUCAUCUAUCUUUCUUUGGCACAAUUAACACUGGCACGAUACAUAAACUCAUACUUUUCCUCGCAUACCCCCUUGCUCAUCAAAUCCUCCACUUGUAUUUGAAGUUCCUUGGUCUCCUCAGGAUUCCCUUGGUAAGCCAAUCUGUUUGGAAUGACAACUCCAGGUAUGAAAUCAAUUCGAUGUUCAAUGCCUUGAAUGGGUGGUAAUCAACUAGAUAUGUCUUUUGAGAACACAUCUUCGAAUUCCUGCAACAAAAAAUGUAUCCAAACUAAGGAGUGGUAUUAGAUUCCUCAAGAUAGAGGAGUAACUCUUUACAAACCAAUAAGACCAUUGGCUGUCUCUCAACUACUGCCACCUUUAACUCACUCCUUUUUACUAAGAAGUUUACUCUCAACUUUUCUCACCUCUCGAAAGUCUCUUUUUUUCUUUUUUCUCUUGUAGCUCUAAUCUUUUUUCUCACUAUUUUCUUUCUUGCUCUUUGAUUCUUUCAAUCUCUUUUCUUCCUCAUUUUUCAAAUUUGGUCUUCAUUCAGUUGUGUCAGUAUUAUUGGUACAAGAGGAAUAGAUUUUUCAUCAUUGGUAAAGUUGUACCUAUUUUUGUACCCAUCAUGAAUCACCUUCCUAUCAUAUUGCCAUGGCCUACCCAAUGUGUUCGGCAUGCAUAGGAACUACAUCACACAUCACUUCAUCUUAAUAGCUACCAGUUGAAAACCUCAUCAACACUCCCAUAUUCACCUUAACCUCUCCACAUUUAUUCAGCAAUUACAAUCUAUAAGGUUUAGGAUGUUUUAACAUGGUUAACCUCGGUUUCACAACAAAUAUAGUGCUAGCUACUUUAGUACAACUAAAGUAGGAACUACAUCACACAUCACUUCAUCUUAAUAGCUACCAGUUGAAAACCUCAUCAACACUCCCAUAUUCACCUUAACCUCUCCACAUUUAUUCAGCAAUUACAAUCUAUAAGGCUUAGGAUGUUUUAACAUGGUUAACCUCGGUUUUACAACAAAUAUAGUGCUAGCUACUUUAGUACAACUACCACCAUCAAUAAUCAUUCUAAAUACCUUCUUGUUCAUAUGACACCUCGUAUAGAAUAUAUUCUCCUUUUGGUAGAGGAUCAAUGUUUUAAAGGUUCAAGUGCUUCAACUACAUGAUUUGAAUCUCUUAGCUUGAAAGUGGUUAAACUAAAAGAUAUUACACUUGAAUAUAUUCAUUUUAGUGUUAUUUACGUGUCAACACUAUACAUAUUGAAUCUUAUCUUGUGUGGAUAGUGGAUUCAAGGGUUAGAAACCUACUUUAUAUGAGAUCAAAAGGUAUAUUAUUCUAUUGUCGAGUCUUUGACUUGAUACAAAGUAGAUAUAUACAAAUAAUGAAGAUGGAGUGGAUGUUUAUAUGACUGAUACUGCAAUUCAGUGUUGCAAAGUGGAAAAACUAACCUGCUAUUUGAUAUUAAUAUAAUAUUAAAGAUUCCACUAAAUUUGAUCUCAGUUAUUGUUCUUCAAAGAGUGGUCUCUUACUUGAACUUAUAUGCGGUAGUUCUGUUCGUACUCACAGUGGUGAUUUUAUUAUUGCUCUGGAUAUUUGUACAAAGGUUUGAGAUUUUGAGUCGAGAAAACCAUUCAAAGUUGUAAGAGCUAAACUUUCAUAGAAAAAAUCCAUCCGAAUUUUUUUGUGGGCCUUGAUUAAGAGAAAUAGAGAUGAAAUUUCACUUUUCAUUACAUAUAUAGAUGGAUUCACGCAUUUCAGUUGUGCGAGUGAUUUUCUUAAGUUGAAAAUAUUGUAUUGAUUUGGACUUUUUUGAAAUCGAGUAGAAAAUCAGAUUGUGAAAGUGAAGACUUUGAGAAUUAUCUGAUAGUGUGAAUCUCUAUUGCGAGAUAUCAACGAUCUAUGUAAUGAAAGAUAUUCUUAUUUGAUGGACUAUUCCUUACUGUCCAAUAAUUAUAAGGUGUAUUGGAUUGAAGGUAUAAAAUAUUGCUGAAUAUGGCAAGGUUUGAGAUAUGCAGUACAACUUACAUAUUUGCUUUGGGAAAGAGCAUUGCCUAACUACAAGAUUAAUGGAGUUUUCUCAAUUUUGGUAACUUCAGAAUAUAUAAAUUUUGGACACGUAAAUAAUCGAAUGUAGAUUAUUAUAGACUCUUAAUUGACUAUAUAUGUUCUUGAUAAUGAGUAAGGGAACAUGAGUGUUAAGAAUAAGAUGUGUCUCGAUGACAUACAUGUAGUCCAAAAAGGUACUUAAGUGAAAUUUUUGGAUGGAUAUCGAGUCAUAAGAUAUGACAUUUGACAUUUUUCCAGUAAGGGAGGAAAAUAUUGGUAAACAUCGUUGAAAUUGAUAUUAAAUAUAUUGAUGAAUCAAUUUUGAAUAUAUAAGAGAUUAUUCAAACUUCUGAUUCAAGCAGGAGUAAUCUGUUUCCGAGUUGGACUUAUCUAUCCAAGUGGAGCCAUUUAAGAACUAUCUAAUUUUAAUGAUUCUUGGUUCCUAGUUGGAUCUAAGAGCUAAUUCAGAAAAUCAGAGGAGGAGUUUUGAGAAAAGUGAUGGAAGUAUAUAUAUGGAGCACAGAAUUUCAACCUAAUCUGGGAUAUGGUGAAAGUUCUAUUCGAACAUUAUGUUUACCGGGAACAUUCAGGUUCUUGAAAGUUAAGUGGAAGAUUAAUGAGUUUCUGAUAGAUAAAUUUCAUUUUGGAAAAAUGUUAUACUCAAUGUGAGUGUAUUGAGUUGGAUAAUUUUUUUCAUAACGAUAGGAUUCGCUUCUGUACAUCAAUGCUAACUGUGAUGGUAUGUUUAAAUUUAGAGUUACACCAAAUCGACCUAGAGACUGUAUUUUUAUUUUCAAUUGAGAAAUGAUUAAAGAUAUCAACAUGAAUCGACUUUUAGAUUUCAUGUUAAAGGCUUUUUUUUGUAUUGUGGUAACUUUACAGUUACAUGCAUGGCCAAAUACAGUCAUCUCGACAAUCGUACUUGAAUUUUUAACAGGGUUAAAUCUCAUACAAGAAUUUCAUCAUAUGGACAAAAAUUACUAUAUUUAUAUAAGAGGUUUGAUGGUGGGUUGUAAUUCUAAUAUUGAUAUUAAUGACAUUAGAUUGGCUAAGCAUGAUAAGGAGUGUAUAGAGACCAUUUUGAAAUGAUUGUCGUCAAUUUUUGAGACAAAAGACAUGGAUUUAGCAAAUUAUAUGAUUUGUGCUAAGAAUACUUUUCGUAUGUUCUUGCUCUAUCAUAAGAGUUUUAUACUAUAAAUGCUCAUGUGGAAUUUCAACUAUGACCGUAUAAGUCUUCAUAAAUGUCCAAAGACUUCAUAAGUGCACAAAAAAAUAUCCAGAGAACUAUAUCUAGUACGAUUAAGAGUUAAGAAAUAGAAGUCUACUAUGAUAUAUACUUGUCCUAACAAUGGUCAUGUCGUGGAUCUAAUCAGUAGGUAUCAAUAUUAUCUUUAGAAAAUUAUUGUGAUACUUGAAGGGUGCUGCUCUCAGUUAUUCUAUUUCGUUGUCAAACGAAUAACUUGUGAUUGGAAUAGAUAUACAAUUGUUGACUAAGAAUGAGAGUUAGUCGAGCACAAUUAGUUAUUUGAAUUGUGCGGUUUUGCUAUAUAGAGUAGCAAGAAGCAUAUGUUGUAAUGUAUAUCUUUGCAGCUAAGAAAUUGUUUGGUAUAGUUGUAUUGAGCAUCUAAUGAUACUGGUUGAAAAUAUGAUAUCCAUGAUAGUUACGGGGUUUGCUAUGACUUUUCACUGUCGUCCGACCGUUACAGAGGCUUUUGCCUCGCAACUAUCUUAUAUGUUAAGAUCUCAAGUAUCAAGAUGAAACCAAAUACUUAAUGGUAAUUCUGUGAGAGACAUUAGCAAAGAAAGCGUUUUUGCGAUAUAUCUAUGUAAAUGGUGAUAUGUAAUCAUCAUACUCUGAAGAUGUCUAGAGAUAUAUUUGUUGAUAAUAUGGAAUCUCUAGAAUUUCAUAGAAUAUGAUAUUUGGUGUAUCAGAAAAACACUUGAUUGAGUUUUGUGUGCCCAUAGAUAAACAAUUUUGAGUUCAUGUGUAAUCUAAUAUUGGGAUUACAAGAUAAAUGAUUUGUAUGCACAUAUAAAGUAUGUCGAACGGUUUGAGAUUGGCUUACUCACACAAGAAAUCGCCUAGACAUUUUAAGAUGUGCUGAAAUGAGACACAGUGACCGUAUUGUGUACAUGAUCCAGUCGCCUUGAUAAUGAUCAUUUUGUUUACAGGAUCCAGUCGCUUUGAUAAGGUAUCAAGAUGAUAUUACAAAAAGCAAUCGAAAUGGAUUUUGCUAUUCAUUAAACCCGUUUAGGAGCCAGAUCGAGUUCUCGAUUUGAGAAUGCCUGGAAGAAUGAACAUAAGGAGAACUCAAGUUAGGUAUCGAGGAAUACUUGAACUAUGAUUUGUACGAUAUUAUUUGUUUACAAAGAAUAUGACAUACGCCAUAAGAAAGUGAGAAAAUAUCGUAGCACAUGUUUCAUACCGCUUGUGCUUUUACGACCAAUAUUGGGUAAAUGAGUGAAUGGAUCCCUGCUUCCUCAUUGUGUAAAGUUUAUUUAACCUCAUAUAUACCCCUUUAUGACUUUUGACUAUUUUUUGAGGUUUUAUUUCAGUGUUACUAUUUUAGCAUGUUGUCAAUGACUAUAAUUGAUUCGGUUUGAUGGUGCAUGUCUAGGAAAGCAGCUGAUUUAAAAUAUGGAUAAUGGGUCGCCCCAGGAUUUUAAAAGGGUUGGAGGGAGUGGUUUGACACGACCCGUCCCGAAUCACCCUAGUGGAGUUGAAACGUGACGUGCGCCGAUAAUAGAUGCUGACUAAAUGUCAAGUCUAUCACCAAUGCUGACUAUGAGUUAUUUCAACAAAAAUGCAACAAAAUCAAAUGUUUAUAUAAAAUAUAAUGUGAUAGGCCCAAAAUAUUUAUUUCGUGCUUCAUCAAUAUGAGUUAUAAUAUUCAACAUGUCGGGUGGCUCUCAUUUUGAAAUCAUUAAGUUCUUCCAGCUAAAAAGAAUCAAUUGCUACCUGUAGGAAAAAUCGUGGAAAAAUAUAUGAGUUGAUAGCUCAAUGAGUGGAGAAAUUCGAAUUAUAUUUAUAUUUUUUCAAUUUUACAUUUCUAUCAAAAAUCGAGUUCAUAUCAUUUAAUAAUUCACAAGAUAACAUCACGUAAUUAUAACCAAAAGUGAAAUAUUCACAUAAAGUCGUAAAAUAUCAUAUCAAAAUCAUGAUAUAAAUAUCAGCUCAUAGUCAUGCUAUAAUUUCAUUACAUCAAACGUGCUGAAAAAUCCACCAAAAAUGUACCCUCUAACUAAAAUAUAUAAUCCGCCCCUCGGGCUAAGAACUUAUGCCACGGGCCUUUGGCCCCUCCGUGAAUGAAAGUCCUCUCAUAAUCAAUUAUAAAACAUAGUCAAGGCCCCUCAGUGAACUAUAUGUACACGAUCGAGACUCCUUCAUCUCCGGUCCAAGACCCCUCAGUGUAGUAUAGAACACAGUCAAGGCCCCUCAGUGAACUAGAAGAAAUAUAUAAUCAUGGGUACUUUUCCGAUCGAUCUCAAAAUCAUGUCCCAUAUUCCAAUUCACAAUGUAACGUAUACAAUCUUUGAAAUCUCAUAUGUAUCAUAAUAAAAGAUAUUUCCAUAAUAACCAUAUAAUUCGAACACAUAAUUGCAUAUAAUUGCACAUACUUUAACAAUAAACUUAAUUUAUAAAUACUUUAAAAAUAUUUAUAUUUUUCCACUCACCGUACUAUGUUCGCAAAAUCAACUCGAUUGGUAAGUUGUUCCGAUGUCAGUAUCGUUGCCUGAAAUACGAUAUAAUAUUUAAAUAAAUAAUUAAUUAUUUUAAAUAAUUUCAUUAAUUAAAUAAGCGACACCCAAAUUUAAUCAUUUUACGUUUAAGCGAUUUCUAAAGUCUCUUUAAUUACUAAAACUAGUUUUUCUUUCACUUUACUUAAUUUCAUAGUUUAUUACACUUAACCCUAUCAACAAAAUUAAAUUUAAUCUAACAAUCUAACAACUAUAAAAUCAAAGAUAAUUUGACAAUAAGUAACUUUUUACUUACCUUUCAAAAUUGAGGAAUUCAAGCCUAAUAAUGUAGACCACUUAAUUCCUAACACGUUGACAAAAAAAUUCUAUUUUUUUCUUCUUCUUCACUUUUUUUUUUUAUUUCCUUUCUCUUUUCUCUCCUCUUUCUUUUUUUUUCUCUCCAUUUUCGUUUUCUGCUUCCUGUGUAUUAUGAAAAUGGGUUUUGAUUUCAUUGAUAUAAAAGUCAAUCCAAUUCCACCAUCUAAAUAUAUAUAUAUAUAUAUAUAUAAAAGGAAAAGAGAUUUGAGAUCUUUUAGGACAGCCCAGCGGAAAAUUUGAUUACUUAGUUAAAUAUAGUCCACCAAAACAUUUUUCACCAGAACACUUUUCAAAUAAUCCAGAUUUUUCACAAGCCCAAGAAAUUCAGCCCAGUAAGGGAAAAGAAAAAAUGGUGGCCCAAAAUAGUCAAGAAUGCUUAUUUCUUCAAGAAUCACAAGACCAUAAUCCAGAUGUUGUUUCCUUAGAAAAGAUUUUUGAAAAAAUUGAAGAAUUUCAGAAGCAAUCCAAAAAAGAUGAAAGAACUUCUUUCAGAAAAAAGAAAAAGAUUAAUAAGAAGAAAAAUGAUGAAGGAUUAAAUCUCUCAUAGUUUUUCUUUAUAUGCUCAUAUGUCCUUAAUUAGGGUCUGCUCCUGUUAUUAAUAUCUGUACUUUAUUACCAAAAUUAUAAGGAUUACUUCCCAUAUUAAUUAAUUGUUCGAAUUCUUCUUUCUUUUCUAAUUUAAAUGCUUCCCACAUAGUUUUUACACUUUCUCCUAAAAAUGUUUCUAAGUAUCUAUACAUAUCUAAAACUUCCAUUUCUUGAAAAUUUCUAAUAUAAUGUCCUAUUAUAGUGUUUUUCCAUACAUCUAUUACAUUAUUCCAUGUCUGUGGAUCAUGUGCUCUAAUAUUUAAAAUUUGUGCUUUAUGGUCUGAUUGGAACUCUAUUUUCUUUUCUAAGGGUCUUUCACUUCCUCUUGUUAUAUAUUUUCCUUUUGUAUUAUUAUAUAAAGGAUAAGCUCCUUUUGGGGGAAAUCCUCCACCAUAAACUUUGACUCAUGUUUAAUUGUUCUAUCAAAAGGAGUAUAUAGAUAAAGUAGUAAAUUUAAUGAGUAGUAAAGGUAUUAAUAUGGUUAAACCUAAAGAAUAUGCAUCAGAACAAUUAGCAGGAUUAGAAUGGGAUAUGGAUAAAUUCUUAGAAAAUCAAGAAAUGAUUAUAGCACCACAAGAAGCAUUAAUUUAUAAAGAUAUUCAUGGAAGAACUAGUUUAAGAUUUUUAGAUUAUAAUCAAGUACAAAAACAGAAUGAUUUUGAAGAAGAAACUAAUCCUGAAGAAGAACAAAAUGAACCAUUUCAAAAUCAAGUUCAUAUAGAAUUAAUGGAUGAAGAAUUUGAUAAAAUAAUUUAUUCAAAAGAAUUAGAAAUGAGUUUAGAUAAUAAAGAAUUAUUAAAAUUGGAAGAUCAAAUGUAUCUUAAUAAGAUAAUUACAGAAUCUGAAUAUUUAUAUUAUGAUCAAGAACAGAAUAUAAGAAUAGGAAUUAUUAAACAAGAUAAUGAUUCAGAAAAUUCAGAUUUAAGUUAUACAAAAGAACUUAUGAAAAAUUCUAAUACAUAUAGAACUUUUAGUGAUCAACUUAGUCUUUAUAAAUGGACUAAAGGAAGAUAUGUUAAGAAUUUUUUAAAUGAAUAUCAUUAUUUAACUUCAAUAUCAGGAAAUACAUUCAAUCAAGAACUUGGUAAUAAAUUAUUUCAUAAAUUACCAGGACCAUUAGGAUUAGAGAUUACGGAUAAAUGGAAUAAUUUACCAACAGUUAAGGAAGAACCAGAAAAAUAAUGAAGUAUAGGACAAAGAAUACAACAUGUAAUAAGAUGUUUAGAGGAUAAAUGUGUAGAGUUACAAAUUCAAAAAUAAUUUAAAAAGACAGAUUAUAAAUUUUGUAAAGAUAUUUUUAUCCCACAAACUUGUAUUCAUCUUGAAAAUUUAUAUUCUUUAGGUAAUUUCCUAGUUACCUUUUCUUUUCCUGUUUCUUUAAAACUUAGAUUUUCUAAUGUAGUUGUUAAGGCUUUUAAGUCUUUUUCUACACUUGAUGUAGAUCCUAUUUCUAUUUCUUUAGAUUUAUUAGAAUCUAAAAUUCUUUUUAUUUCUGUUAAAUCCACUUUAGAUGGUAUUUUUUCUAAUUUAACAAGUUUUUCUAAAAUACUUGAAUUUUGAUUUUUAAUAUAAUCCAAAGAUUCUCUUAUAUUUUUAAUCUCUUGAUCUCUAACUAUAAUAUUUUCUUUUAUAAUUUCUAAAUAAUUAUUUUGCUUUUUGUUUUCUAAUUCUAAAUUUUUUGAUAAAUUUAUGAUUAAGUCUACAAUACAAUUCUGACUUGGAUCUUUUGAAAAUAAACUAUGUAAUUUAUGCUUAUUGUCUAAAUUACACUUAAUUAUAUUAUUAUCAACAGUUUGUACUUUUUUACUGAUAUUUCUUAAGUCUAAGUCUAAAUAUUCAAACUUUCUAUUUGUAACCAGAGUUCUAAACCGUAAGAGAUUCUGUUUACUAUAAAAAUAUGUUUAUAUUCUUCUACUAAAAUUUUCUUUAUAAUAUUUUCUCUUAAUUCAACAGGUAAAUCUUUAGUAAUUCUUAAAAUUUCUAAAAUUUCAAUUAAAUCUUUACUAUAUGUUCCUACUAUAUUGUCUUCUUCAAAGUAAACACAAAUAUCUAUACUAUAUUUUAUUUGAUAAGAUAACAUGUUCUCUCUUAUGCCUAUCCCGAUCACUACUUCCUUUUUUGCUCUGAUACCAAAUGGGGGGGGGUAGGCUGUUUUAAUAGGCUGUUUUGUUUAAACUUUUAACUUUUAAUAACUUUAAUCCUACUCAGUACACUCCUUAGUUUUCUAUAAAUCUUUCUUAAGAAUCAUAUAUAAAUCUCUUUUUUUUCACAUUUAAAUUUUCACCACCUAUGACAUAUAAAUUUGAACCUGAUUCCUUUUUAUAAGGUUACCCGUGGCACUCCCUUAUAAAAUUCUUAGAUUAAUUUUUUCCAUUUUCCCAGCAUCUUUAGAAAACAUCAAAAGGCUCACUCCGGCCAAAAGUUUUCACAUAUCUGGGUCACUCAGGAUUAACCUAAAAACAGUAUGGCUUCUAGAAAUCAAGUUAUGCUUUUAUUAUAUGCAUAGGAUGAAAUGAUAAUUAUAACAAAUAUUUACUUAAAAACAUAAACAUAAAAGAUUAAAACAUAAAUUAGGGAUUUAGAAUGAGUUUCAUUCGGUUUAGGCGGAAGUUUACGACCUGUGUACUCUCUGCUAUAUAAAAAAAAAACCCCUUCAAACCUCUCCUCCAGAAAAAUUCUCAAUCCAAAAAAUAUUAUAUAGCUGAAACACUCUUGUGAUAUUAGAACUUACUGGCAUAAGAGAGAACGGGUUCUCUUAUCAAGUAAAAUAUAGUAUAGAUAUUUGUGAUUACUUUGAAGAAGACAAUAUAGUAAGAACAUAUAGUAAAGAUUUAAUUGAAAUUUUAGAAAUUUUAAAAAUUACUAAAGAUUUACCUGUUGAAUUAAGAGAAAAUAUUAUAAAGAAAAUUUUAGUAGAAGAAUAUAAACAUAGUUUUAUAGUAAACAGAAUUCUUACGAUUUAGAACUCUGGAUACAAAUAGAAAGUUUGAAUAUUUAGAUUUAGACUUAAGAAAUAUCAGUAAAAAAGUACAAAUUGUUGAUAAUAAUAUAAUUAAGUGUAAUUUAGACAAUAAGCAUAAAUUAUAUCGUUUAUUUUCAGAAGAUCCAAGUCAGAAUUGUAUUGUAGACUUAAUCAUAAAUUUAUCUAAAAAUUUAGAAUUAGAAAACAAAAAGCAAAAUAAUUAUUUAGAAAUUAUAAAAGAAAAUAUUAUAGCUAGAGAUCAAGAGAUUAAAAAUAUAAGAGGAUCUUUGGAUUAUAUUAAAAAUCAAAAUUCAAGUAUUUUAGAAAAACUUGUUAAAUUAGAAAAAAUACCAUCUAAAGUGGAUUUAACAGAAAUAAAAAGAAUUUUAGAUUCUAAUAAAUCUAAAGAAAUAGAAAUAGGAUCUACAUCAAGUUUAGAAAAAGACUUAAAAGCCUUAACAACUACAUUAGAAAAUCUAAGUUUUAGAGAAACAGGAAAAGAAAAGGUAACUAGGAAAUUACCUAAAGAAUAUAAAUUUUCAAGAUGAAUACUAAUCCUUUCUUAGGAAGAUCUAGAACAAUAAAUGAAGAAACAUUUACAUCUAGAAAUAGUACUUCAAGUAUAAGCAGAAAUAUAAUAGAAAGAGUUUUAAAUAGACCAGUCCAAUAUAAUCAAAAUAUAGAAGAAAUUAUAGAUCCCCAACAAGACUAUUUAAGAUUUCAGACUAAUGGACUAAGAAUUCUUAACCCAGAAAUAUUAUAUAAUAGAGGAAUUUUUGAAACCAGAACACAAUUUUUCAGACAUAGUAGAGAAGUAUCUGUUCAGUGUAUAGGAAAUCAAGUAAGAAAAUUGAAUUUAAUAUCAGAAGAUUCUAAGAGAGAAUUAAAAAAGAAAAAUUUUAGAUUUAUGCAUUUAGGAUUAAUAGUUACAGGAAUAAAAGGAUUAAUGAGAAAAAAUUUAGGAUGUAAAGUUUUAGUUACCAUAUAUGAUGAAAGAAUUAAUAAUAUAGAUAAAAGCAUGAUUGUUAGUACAGAAGUUGAUAUGAAUAAUAAUAAUGGAAUAAUUUAUUAUAAUCCAGAUUUUUUAUAAACUAUUAAAGAUUUUUCAGAUAAAAUUAAGAUAGGAAUUCAAACAAAAGGAUAUGAAGAAGUAGAAAGUGGAGACAAUUUAUUAAUUAGUAUAGAAUUUUUAGGAAGAUGUUCAAAUAAUUCACUGACAAAAUAUAAAAUUUAUAUAGAUAAAGUAGUAAAUUUAAUGAGUAGUAAAGGUAUUAAUAUGGUUAAACCUAAAAAAUAUUCAUUAGAACAAUUAGCAGGAUUAGAAUGGGAUAUGGAUAAAUUCUUAGAAAAUCAAGAAAUUAUUAUAGCACCACAAGAAGUAUUAACUUAUAAAGAUAUUCAUGGAAGAACUAGUUUAAGAUUUUUAGAUUAUAAUCAAGUACAAAGACAGAAUGAUUUUGAAGAAGAAAAUAAUCCUGAAGAAGAACAAAAUGAACCAUUUCAAAAUCAAGUUCAUAUAGAAUUAAUGGAUGAAGAAUUUGAUAAAAUAAUUUAUCCAAAAGAAUUAGAAAUGAGUUUAGAUAAUAAAGAAUUAUUAGAACUGGAAGAUCAUAUGUAUCUUAAUAAGAUAAUUACAGAAUCUGAAUAUUUAUAUUAUGAUCAAGAACAGAAUAUAAGAAUAGGAAUUAUUAAACAAGAUAAUGAUUCAGAAAAUUCAUAUUUAAGUUAUACAAAAGAACUUAUGGAAGAUUCUAAUACAUAUAGAACUUUUAGUGAUACUCCUUUUGAUAGAACAAUUAAACAUGAGUCAAUAGUUUAUGCUGGAGGAUUUCCCCCAAGAGGAGCUUAUCUUUUAUAUAAUAAUACAGAAGGAAAAUAUAUAGCAAGAGGAAGUGAAAGACCCUUAGAAAAGAAAAUAGAGUUCCAAUCAGACCAUAAAGCACAAAUUUUAAAUAUUACAGCACAUGAUCCACAGACAUGAAAUAAUGUAAUAGAUGUAUGGAAAAACACUAUAAUAGGACAUUAUAUUAGAAAUUUUCAAGAAAUGGAAGCUUUAGAUAUGUAUAAAUACUUAGAAACAUUUUUAGGAGAAAGUGUAAAAGCUAUGUGGGAAGCAUUUAAAUUAGAAAAGAAAGAAGAAUUCGAACAAUUAAUUAAUAUGGGAAGUAAUCAUUAUAAUUUUGUUAAUAAAAUACAGAUAUUAAUAAUAGGAGCAGACCUUAAUUCAGGACAUAUGAGUAUACAAAGAAAAGUUAUGAGAGAUUUAGAACAACUUAGUCUUUAUAAAUGGACUAAAGGAAGGUAUGUUAAGAAUUUUUUAAAUGAAUAUCAUUAUUUAACUUCAAUAUCAGAAAAUACAUUCAAUCAAGAAAUUGGUAAUAAAUUAUUUUAUAAAUUACCAGGACCAUUAGGAUUAGAGAUUACAGAUAAAUGGAAUAAUUUACUAGCAGUUAAGGAAGAACCAGAAAAACAAUGGAGUAUAGGACAAAGAAUACAACAUGUAAUAAGAUAUUUAGAGGAUAAAAUGUGUAGAGUUACAAAUUCAAAAAAACUUAAAAAGACAGAUUAUAAAUUUUGUGAAGAUAUUUUUACCCCCACAAACUUAUGGAGCCUCUAGUUCAAGAAAAAAUAAAUAUAAUAAUAAAGAAAGAAAGGAUAAAAGACCUUUUAAGAAAAGAUACUUUCUUAGAAAAUCCAAUAAAAGAAAAUCAUACUUAGAUGAAAAAACACAUGUGAUAAAAUUUAAACCAGAAAGAACUUAUAAGAAUAGAUUUAAUUGUUAUGUUUGUAACAGUAAUGAACAUUUAUCCAAAACUUGUCCAUAAAGAAUAAAUAAUUAUGAUAAGAAGAGUAUAUUAAUAGAAUGCACUAAUGAAAAUUUAAUACAAUUAGAUGAAUAUAUCUCAGACAAAGAAUCUAUUUAUAGUAUUAUAUCAAUAGAAGAAAGAAAUUUAGAAGAAAAUAAAGAAUCUGAUUAUGAAAUAAUAGAUGAAUUCUCUAAUAUAAGAUUACAAGAAGAAUCAGAAGAAGAACUGAAUUUAAUGAAUAGUAUAACUAUAGAAUGUUUAUAUAAUUGGUAGAAAUAUAAAGGAGCAGAUAAUAUAGCUUGUUAUUUAUGUAAUUGGUAUCCAGUAAGAAAGCUUAGAGCUAAAUGUUCAGAAUAUUAUAAGGAAGCAUGCAUUAAAUGUUUAGAAAAAAAGAAUCUUAUUGAAAAAGAAGAAGUCAAUUUAGAAAUUUAAAAGAAAAAAUUGAAAUAUUAGAAAUAAAAAUUCUUAGAAAAAGAAUUGAAAGCCUAGAAAAAAUGCAAAAAUUUAUAAUAAAUAAAAUAGAAAUGUUAUAAUAUAAAAAUAAAGGAAAAAUAAUAGAAAUAGAAGAACAAAGUCAAAGUACAGAAUACAAAGAAAAAGAAUAUGUUCAGGUAAUAUGUAAUUCAGAAAAACUUAAAAGUAUUAAGGUAAAAUGUUACAUAAGAAUAGGACAAUAUGAAAUAAAAUGUUUAGGAUUAAUAGAUUCAGGAUGCGGUAACUGUAUAAUUAAUAAGAAACUAAUACCAAAACAAUACAUAACAUAUUCAGACAAACCAAUAGAAGCACAACAGAUGGAUGGAGAACUCUAUACUUAUACAGAAUUAUUACAAUCAAAUAGUAAAAUUAGUUUUGAGACAAAUUGUGGAAGAAGCAUAGAAUAUACCUUACAAAAAAAAUCAGUUUGGGUUAGAUCUCUAAAUAUUAAAGAUACAGGCUUUAAUAUAGGAUUAAAUUUUUUAUUAAAAAACAAUGGAAGUGUUACAAUUACUAAAGAUUUCUUACAUUUACAAAAACAUACAUUAUUUACACCAACACAGACUACCUAUUUUCCAUCAGAGUGCAUAGAGAAGCGUGAUGGUAGUAAUAGUAAUAGUUGUAAGUGUGAAAAAGAAAGAAAAUGUCAAUUAAUAGAAGAAGAUAAUUUAGAAGAAAUAAAUUUUGAGAUUAUAGAAGAAGAUACUUUAGAAAACAUAGAUUUUGGAACUAUAGAAUUAAUUGACAAUGAAAAGAUUUAUGAUAUGUUAAUAACAGAACAAGAAAUAGAAAAUUUAAUUUCUAGAUUAGAAAAGAUGGAAAUAAUAGGAGAAAAUGUUUUAAAAUACUGGGAGAAAGAUAAAAUCUUAUGUGAAUUAAAAAUUAAAAAUCCAGAAUACAUAAUUAAAACUAAGAAUAUUGAAGCUACAAAUAUAGACUUAGAAGAUUUUAAAAUACAUAUAAAAGAACUUUUAGAAUUAGGAGUAAUUAGAAAAUCAGAUAGUUCUCGUAGAUCAGCAGCAUUUAUAGUUAGAAAACAUUCAGAAAUUGUUAGAGGAAAAAGUAGAAUGAUUAUUAAUUAUAAAAGACUUAAUGACAAUACUAUAGAUGAUGUUUAUAACAUACCAAAUAAGACAGUUUUAAUAAAUAAAAUCCGAGACUGUAGAAUUUUUAGUAAAUUUCAUUUAAAGUCAUGAUUUUGGCAAGUAAAAAUGCAUCCAAAAAGUAUUAAGUGGACAGCUUUUACUUGUCUAGAAAGACAUUUUGAAUGGCUUGUAAUGCCAUUUGAAAUUAAGAAUGCACCAAGUAUUUUUCAAAGAAAAAUGAAAAGUAUUUUUAAUAGACAUAGUAAGUUUGUAAUAGCAUACAUAGAUGAUAUUUUGAUAUUUAGUAAAAAUAAACAAGAACAUAGAGGUCAUUUACAAAUAAUAUUUUCAGAAUUUAUUAAACAUGAUUUAAUAAUUAGUAAAAAGAAAAUGAUUUUAUUCAAAGAAUUUAUAGAUUUCUUAGGAGUUAAUAUAGGAGAAGGUAAAAUUAAGUUACAACCCCAUAUUGCUAAGAAAUCUUUAAAAUUUCCAGAUAAAUUAGAAGAUUUAAAACAAAUCUAAAAAUUUUUAGGAUUAGUAAAUUAUGUUAGACCAUUUAUAAAAGAUUUAGGAAAAAUAGCAGGACCUUUAUAUGCAAAAACAUCUCCUACAGGACAAAGAUUUUUUAAUCAAGAAGACAUAAAGUUAGUACAACAAAUAAAAGAAAAGAUAAAAAAUUUACCAGAAUUGGCUAUGCCAUUAGAUUUAGAGUAUUUAAUUAUAGAAACAGAUGGAAGUAUGAUAGGAUGGGGAGCUAUAUUAAUAUGCAAACCCAAUAAAUAUACUGAUAAAAAUACAGAAAGAAUUUGUAAGUAUAAUAGUGAAAAUUAUAAAGAGAAAGGAAAAUUAAGUAGUAUAGAUGCAGAAUUAUUAGCUAUAAAUUAUGCAUUAGAUAGUUUUGAACUAUUUAUUAUAUUUAAGAAAGAAAUAACUAUAAGAACAGAUUGUGUAGACAUAGUUUCUUUUGUUAAUAAAAUGAAAAUAGAAACAAAAAGAAGUAGUAGAAGAAGAUAGUUAAACUUUAUAGAUAGAAUUACAAAUACAGGAAUUAAUAUAGAAUUUGAGUAUAUUAAAGGCAGUGAUAAUAAAGCUGCAGAUAUACUAAGUAGAAUAAUAAUAGAUAGAAAUUAUUAAAUUUGUUUAACAUAAUUUUGUUAUACAGAUGACAAGACCAAGACCUAUAAGACAAGGAAUUCCACCUGAAAAUUCAUUUGCAUCAAGAUCUUUACCACAUACUCCAUUUAAUCAGAACAGACCAAUGUUACAAGACAAGUUAAGGUUUAGAAACAAAGAACUUAUAGUUUUUUCCAAUAGUAAUAUUUCUUUUAAAAUUUUACCGCAUAUUUCUUUGUCUAGAGAAGAAAAAUGUAUUCUAGACAAUUUAUGGAUUUCAUAUAAUAAGAAUCCAAAAGAUCAAAAAUAUUUUCUUGCAUGAAUGAAUGCAUUGUCAGAACAUUUUAGUCAGAACAAGUAAAGAUUUAAAUUUUAUGUUGUUAUUAAAGGUAAAAAUCCAGGAAUUUUUCAUUCGUGGAUAGAAGUUUUAGACCGUAUUAAAAACUUUUCAGAUCCUCUUUACAAAGGUUUUACAAAUUUUCAGGAAGCAAUAGAUGCAGCAAGACAGCAUAUAGGGAUAAACUUUUAUUUAUCACCUUCUUUAAAGAAUUAUUCUGAUCCCCCAUUAGAUUUCUCUCCAAGUAAAGACCAAAAUAUUUUUUGCUAACACUGUAAGUGUAUGCAAAGAAAUUACAAAGUUAUCAAUGAAGUCAAUCAGAACAUUUCACUAGAAAGAACCCAACUCCAAAAGAAAGUGGCCCAACUUGAGAAAGAAAUAUUGGAUUUAAAAGUCCAUUAUCCAACAGGUACCAUGGAGCUCAAGAAGUCCAUAACUAGUCCAACCCAAACGAUAGCUGGUAAAGACUUAUCAAAUCCGUUGAAGGUUGUGGACUUACCAAAAGCCCAACAGACUCAGGGGACUGUUGAUUCCUCUACUAAAUUAGAUAAUCAGACUCGGCAGACUGAUAAAUCUGCUACAAAAAAAGGUAAAGAGAUUUGGGAUCUUUUAGGACAGCCCAUCGAAAAAUUUGAUUACUUAGUUAAAUAUAGUCCACCAGAACAUUUUUCACCCGAACACAUUUCAAAUAAUCUAAAUUUUUCACAAGCCCAAGAAAUUCAGCCCGGUAAAGGAAAAGAAAAAAUGGUGGCCCAAGAUAGUCAAGAAUGCAAUGAUAGUCAAGAAUGCUUAUUUUUUCAAGAAUCACAAGACCCUAAUCCAGAUACUGUUUCUUUAGAAAAGAUUUUUGAAAAAAUUGAAGAAUUUCAGAAGCAAUCUAAAAAAGAUGAAGGAACUUUUUCCAGAAAAAAGAAAAAGAUUAAGAAGAAGAAAAAUGAUGAAGGAUUAAAAGAACAAAUUAGAGAAGCAGUAAAUCAAGCAUUUGAGACAAUUCUAAAAAAGAAUCAUGGAGAAAAGAAAGAAAUUGCAGAAUGUCCAGAUCAAAAAGAAAAAGAUGAAGCCAGUAAUUCCAGAUUCUCAGAUGAAGAUGAAGAUCCACAGAAUGAAGGAUACAAUAAUUCAGACAGUGGAAUGUCAUUUUCAUCAGUGGCACGCCACAAUCUUGAUACGUGAUAAAGAUCCUCAAUAAUGCAUAACAAGACAAAUCUAAAAGAAGAAAAGAUAGAAGACUUUUUAUCAUCAUACUGUAGACUUUUAGAAUAAAUUUUUAUUGUAUUAUUAGAAAAGGUGUCGGGACUUUUUGAAAAAAGAAAAGAUUCCCAUUUGAAUUUUUAGACAUUUGAUAGACUUUUUUGUAAAGUUGGUGGAAAUCUUGUAAAAGAAAGAUUCCCAACUGUAGACCUUUAGAAUUUUUAGCAAAACGACAUAGAAACUUUUGCCACUUGUUAGAUUUCAGAAUGACCAGAAGUUUCUCGGUGAAACGUGUAUCUUUCUCAAGGACAUUGUAGACUUUUUGCUCCCAAAAAUUUUUCUGUUUAAGGAAUGAGUUUCAUUCGAUUUAGGCAGAAGUUUACGAUCUGUGUACUCUCUGCUAUAUAAAAAAAAACCCUUGAAACCUCUCCUCCAGAAAAAUUCUCAAUCCAAAAAAUAUUGUAUAACUGAAACAUUCUUGUGAAUAUUUGAGGUAUUCUUUUACUUUUUAAGUUUAUUUUAGAACUUUAAGGACUUCCCGAAAGGGAAAUCCUUAGUUGUAAAUCUUUCAGAGAUGAAUUUAAAAAUCCCUAAUUUAUGUUUUAAUCUUUUAUGUUUAUGUUUUUAUGUUUAUGUUUUUAAGUAAAUAUUUGUUAUAAUUAUCAUUUCAUCCUAUGCAUAUAAUAAAAGCAUAACUUGAUUUCUAGAAACCAUACUAUUUUGAGGUUAAUCCUGAGUAACUCAGAUAAGUGAAGACUUUUGGUCGGAGUGGGCCUUUUGAUAUUUUCUAAAGAUGUUGGGGAAAGGGAAAAAAUUAAUCUAAGAAUUUUAUAAGGGAGUGCCACGGGUAACCUUAUAAAAAGGAAUCAGGUUUAAGUUUAUAUGUCAUAGGUGGUGAAAAUUUAAAUGUGAAAAAAAAGGAGGGGGGUUUAUACAUGAUUCUUAAGAAAGAUUUAUAGAAAACUAAGGAAAGUACUUAGUAGGAUUAAAGUUAUUAAAAGUUAAAAGUUUAAAUAAAACAGCCUAUUAAAACAGCCUACCCCCCCAUUUGGAUAUAUAUAUAUAUAUUUUGUCUCUCUCUCUCUCUCUCUCUUUUUUUUUUUUUAAGUAUGGCAUGAUAUGUUUGAUUCUCUUUUAUAUAUAUACAUCUUUUAUAUUUAAGGUAUUACAUGGUUUGAAUUUAGAAUUCAAACCUAUAAUUCUCAAGUAACCACUUGAAACUUCCAUAUAAAAGUUAUGGAAAAAGGAACAAAAAAAAUGGCUUGAGAAAAAAUGAUAAAUAAAAAAAAUAUCGUCUGUAAAUUCACCCUAAAAUUAAAAAGUCCCAAGAAUCACAUUUUGGCAUGAAAUCUCAUAAGAAAUGACACUUAGAUUGUUGAUAAUAAUCUUCUUCCAUUGUGAUCGAGAUUUGGACCAUUGGAGUUCAAGAAAAUGCAAGUUUUAUAGAUUUGAAGGCAGGGUGAUUCAACCAUACAAAGAUCUUAAAAUUCAUCAUUUCAAAUAAGUUUGUUGACUCGAAAUUCAUGUCAAAGCAUGCUACGAUUUUUCCUACAAGAUAAUUAAAAAUAAAGAGAAGACUUUUUUGUAUAAACACAAAAAUAUGUGUAUAUUUUGAUUCAUUCAAUAAACAAUUAAGUUUCAACAAAAUUAUAAAUAGUUUGCAAAUAAGAAUGGUAGUGGGCGCAAUCAGAAAGUGAAUAAUGAUUAAUAGUAAUUAUGAAAGUGUGAUUUAAAAAUUAACUUUUAACUUGGACCAAAUUUAUAAAUUACUAGCAAAAAAACGGAGGCUAUGGCUCGACGUCCAAUCAAAUCUCUUCAAGUGUAAUGUUGGCACACAAAUCAAGGUCAGACACUGUAACUUGACAAAACAGAAGGCGACAAACUCCUGUUAAAAAGACUUAUAAAUGGGAAGACCAAGCCAAGCAGUUCCUUAAAUACACGACAAAAAUAUUAGUUAGUAGAGUAUUCCGCUCUUUUGAUAGUUCCAGCAUAAUUAAACUUAUUACCUUGGCAAAUUUCUUUUAAGUUGAUUUAUUAUUGUCAUGUCAAUUUUAGUUAUCAACGGUUUGGCGUUAAGAGGGCCUCAUUAAAACAGCUCACAUUUUAAAUAUUCUCAAGCAUUUACAAUCAACUCGUCCAACAAAGAUGAGUCACAAUACUAUAUCAAGAAAGAAUUAUGCUACAAGUACAAUAAUUUUGACAUCGUGGUUGAUAACCUUCUUACAUACAAGUGGUGGGCCACGAUUAAAAUAAUCGCGGAUCCCACAAUUGUGAGUGAGCUGUCAAAAAGAGUGUACAAUAGGUGCUGUACACUCAGCAUUAUUCAUCAAAAAAUCAUUCUUAUUUAAAUUUUGAUAACAUCAAUCUUUUCAACAACCUCCAUGGUGGUGAUAAUUUUACCGAGGUCGGAAAUCUCCAACUAUCUACCAUGAGAGAGAGGCUAUAGAAAGCCUCACAAGUGUUGUACGAUAGAGAAAAAUCAAACCACUGAGUUGUAAAGACCGAGAUAGAAUCAUUGUCAGAGGCCAAAAACACAAAGAGCGGGAUGGACGAGUUGAGAUAUACCCCCACAUCAAGAGGACGAACUGCUAGGAGAAUCGGAAGCAUUUUUUAUCAAUUAGGAUCACAAAAUUCGCCUCCUCUAAGGAAUGAUCGUGCUAGUCCAACUCAAAACAGGCAAUCUGAAAGGACGGAGGAAAAGCUUGAGCCAAGUUGUUUGAUGAAGUCUCACUAGAAGAACAACCUCUCCCAAUCAUUUCAUCUCCAAAGUCACAGAUCAAUGUAAACCAUUCUUUGGCAUACUCAGGAAUGCCAAGAGGCCUUCGAAGAGCUCAAAAAACAAUUAGCUCAACUACCAUCCUUUCAAAACCGAAGGUAGAUGAAACUCCACUAUCCUAGCUUUUUUUUUAUAUUUAUUUUUGAUUAAUAAACUUGCUACUUUUUGCUGUCGCAUCAUGAGUUUGAGAGAGGAUGCUAGCAUAAUCAGUUAACAUAGGUGAUUUUGUUAUUUUAUAUUGCUAAAAGGAUAGAAUGGUAGUUUUAGUAGUCUAGUCAUUUUUCUAUUAGACAAUUUAAACUCUAGUAUGACAAUUGCUCAUUUGGUAUUUGGAACCCUAGACCCCCUUUUGCUCUCUUUUCUUCCAUCUUGCCUGCAUUCACAAAAACCACAAAAUCCGCCUCCAACCUUUGUAUUAUCUUAUAUUGUUGAUAAUGCAAAUGAAAAUCUUUUAAAUAAAAAAUUAUAUAACGUCAUCCACUUUAAUUUACAUAAUACCCUUUACUCUUUACUAUUCCUUAUAAUUUUAUAUUAAAUUCCUAUAAGACUUAAUUAUGUAGAUUUUUGAUGCAAAAAUUUUCAGGAGUUAUGAACAAGUAUGUAGUUCUGACCAUCAAUACAGAAGAUUUGCUAUAGAAAGUUCGAAUAUGUGUUAUUGUUAGACUGUUUUUUGGAUAAUUGUAAUAAAGUGCAAGCUCUGACUAUAGGCAGGGUAGGCAAUCGCUUAAGGCCCCACUUCGAUGAGAGGCUCAUAAAAAAGUUUUUUUUAAAAAUUUUAUGUGCAUUUUUACAUAUAUAUAGGUCCCAUAUUUGAAAUUGGUUUAAGGCUCCCAAAAUCUUAGAGCCGACCUUGUCGUAAUAUAUCAGUACUUCUCUUCAUUUUCUUCCUUUUAAAAUAAAAGGCUACGUGUGGAGGGGACCUCCACGUACCCAUAUAUGUAAUACAUAAAAAGAACUCUAAGGAAUGAUCGUGCUAGUCCAACUCAAAACAGGCAAUCUGAAGGGACGGAGGAAAAGAUUGAGCCAAGUUGUUUGAUGAAGUCUCACUAGAAGAACAACCUCUCCCAAUCAUUUCGUCUCCAAAGUCACAGAUCAAUGUAAACCAUUCUUUGGCAUACUCAGGAAUGCCAAGAGGCCUUCGAAGAGCUCAAAAAACAAUUAGCUCAACUACCAUCCUUUCAAAACCGAAGGUAGAUGAAACUCCACUAUCCUAGCUUUUUUUUUAUAUUUAUUUUUGAUUAAUAAACUUGCUACUUUUUGCUGUCGCAUCAUGAGUUUGAGAGAGGAUGCUAGCAUAAUCAGUUAAUAUAGGUGAUUUUGUUAUUUUAUAUUGCUAAAAGGAUAGAAUGGUAGUUUUAGUAGUCUAGUCAUUUUUCUAUUAGACAAUUUAAACUCUAGUAUGACAAUUGCUCAUUUGGUAUUUGGAACCCUAGACCCCCUUUUGCUCUCUUUUCUUCCAUCUUGCCUGCAUUCACAAAAACCACAAAAUCCGCCUCCAACCUUUGUAUUAUCUUAUAUUGUUGAUAAUGCAAAUGAAAAUCUUUUAAAUAAAAAAUUAUAUAACGUCAUCCACUUUAAUUUACAUAAUACCCUUUACUCUUUACUAUUCCUUAUAAUUUUAUAUUAAAUUCCUAUAAGACUUAAUUAUGUAGAUUUUUGAUGCAAAAAUUUUCAGGAGUUAUGAACAAGUAUGUAGUUCUGACCAUCAAUACAGAAGAUUUGCUAUAGAAAGUUCGAAUAUGUGUUAUUGUUAGACUGUUUUUUGGAUAAUUGUAAUUCUUCCAGUCUAGAAGAAAUGAUAGAAAUCACCAGAGAUAGGUUUUUUUUUCUUUUUUUUUUUUUAAGCUUCCAUAUUAGAUGAUUAUCUUUUGAAACAUAAUUAGUAUUUGAUUUCAUAGAUUUUCCUACUUCAACAGCUCUGACUAUAGGCAGGGUAGGCAAUCGCUUAAGGCCCCACUUCGAUGAGAGGCUCAUAAAAAAGUUUUUUUUAAAAAUUUUAUGUGCAUUUUUACAUAUAUAUAAGUCCCAUAUUUGAAAUUGGUUUAAGGCUCCCAAAAUCUUAGAGCCGGCCUUGUCGUAAUAUAUCAGUACUUCUCUUCAUUUUCUUCCUUUUAAAAUAAAAGGCUACGUGUGGAGGGGACCUCCACGUACCCAUAUAUGUAAUACAUAAAAAGAAUUAAAAUAAAAUGGUAAAAAAAAAAAAACCUAUAAAAGACACAAAAAGCCAUAGACAUGAAAUAUUAACUCCACUACGAAGCAUAAAAAAUCGAAAAACAAAUAAUCACGACAUCUCAAACAUGUCAAAAGCAAAUAGUAGCUUUCCCAUUCAUCUCAAGGUGCAUAUUUCGCAUCAUUACUUUGAGCCAAAUGAACCUAAAGAUGAGUACGGGGAAAAUAGUGUAUGUGACCCUUACAUCAAGAAGAAUUGCAUUAUUUUAGUAUAGUAUAUUCUUCCCCAUCUCCCCACACCCAAAUCCAAUCAAACAAUAAUUACUAGUUCAGUUAAAAUUAUUAUUCCUGUUUAGCAAAGAUUCAACUCAUUUUUCUUCAAACUCAUUUUCAACCACACAUUUUUCAAGUUCAUUGAUUUACACAUUUUUGCUAUCGGCAUUCGAUUGUUGCCUGCUAAUUACAAUUAUCAUGCUUUUAAUUCCAUACUUCAUUGAUUUUCAUGCAAAGAUCAAAAGAUAAAUUAUUUUCACUCAUGAAAUUAGUGGUAUGCAUUUCACGCAUAGUUUAGGCACAAGGGUUUUGCUUCACGUAGUACAGCCCACUCACAAGAGGGGGGCUUGCUAUUUUUUUAUUGGACGCCGGCCCCCCUCUCUUGUGAGGGGGAUGUACAUUCGGUGUACAACCAUCAAAACCCUUAGGUACAAAUACUUUCACGAUGAUGUUUAUGCAUUGAUACGUGCAUUUUUAGCAUGAUUUUCUAAACAUGUAAAGAAAAUAAAAUUGGAUCGAUCACUUGACUUAAUCUAAUUGACUAAUCAUUAAACUUACAUAAAAGUUUUAUUGUUGCAAGUGAUCGAUCCAAGUUCUAUUCUUGAAGGUGGUUUGAUAUUUUCGAUAUGGAUCGAUCACCGUCAAGCCAUUAUUGUUGCAAUCAUUUGUUUUUGCAGAUUAGUCUGUUGUGUUAGUGCAUGGUGCUCCUCAUGCGAAUUUUAUGAUAGUUUUUGUGAAUGAAUUGCACAGGUUGUUGAUGCUUAGAGUUCCUUGUUGCUAAUUGGUUAAAAGAAAAGAUCGUUCACCUUCAUCUAAACAGAUGCUUGGAAAUGUUUUUCUGGUUCAGUUGUUGAUAAAUAGGUGGCAUCUUUAUUUGGUUUGGAAGAAAGACCAUUCUCAUUGGUUAAGAAGCUGCAAUCUAUUUCGUUGGAGUCCAAUUCUUCCAGUCUAGAAGAAAUGAUAGAAAUCACCAGAGAUAGGUUUUUUUUUCUUUUUUUU
rnacentral:lncRNA from 1 species